CCACUGACUGAGAUAUGAAGGCAUCUCUCCACCUGGGGAAGGAGAGGAGAUAUUUUACCACCCCCUGAAUCCCACUGACUGAGAUAUGAAGGCAUCUCUCCACCUGGGGAAGGACAAGGAGAUAUUUUACCACCCCCUGAAUCCCACUGACUGAGAUAUGAAGGCAUCUCCACCUGGGGAAGGAGAGGAGAUAUUUUACCACCCCCUGAAUCCCACUGACUGAGAUAUGAAGGCAUCUCCACCUGGGGAAGGAGAGGAGAUAUUUUACCACUCCCUGAAUCCCACUGACUGAGAUAUGAAGGCAUCUCUCCACCUGGAGAAGGAGAGGGGAUAUUUGACUGAUCUAUUGCUCCUCUCUCCACACCUCCCUGCAGCUCCAGCCAGAGGACUAGAGGACUACUGCUUAAUGAACCAUUCAUUUAAUACCAUUAAGACCAGGGCUGUCCUGGAGAGGGCUGUUUCAGACUAUUACUGCUGCAAAUUGAUUGCUCUUUAGGGACAAUAUUGAUUUGUGCUCAAAGCUCCAAGCUCUUCACUGUACAGUAUGGGAGAAAUUCACCUCACCCACCUCAUCCACUACAGUACUUACUAUGUCGCAGGGUUGGAGCCAAUUCGAUUGAAGGUAGUCAAUUCAGGAAGUGAUUUGAAUUUGAACUUCAGUAAAUGGAAAAACUUUAGAAAUAAACAGCUUUCACUUAUAGUUUCUUGAGAAGCAAUUUCAAAUAGAUGGCCCUUUUCGAAGGCCUUCAAUUCUAAUUGACCCCAACCAUGCUAUGUAGCGCCGAUAAAUGCUGGGACUGGGAGGAUGUAGGACCUGUUUACAUAUGGACUCCUUAUCAACAAACCUCUUUGUUUGUUUGUUUGCUUGUACAUAAACAACUGAACUGUGUGAUUGUUUAAUAAUCUAGCUCCCUUUGGUUGUGUGUGUGUGUCACAAAUGGCCCUUUGUUCCCUGUGUAGUACACUUCUUUUGGCCAUGUUGGGACGUGGACGUUCUUCUUUGUGGAGUCUGUUAAUCUAACAUGAAGAGAAGACUCUUACCCGUGGUCACAUGUCUGUGUACUGUACAUGCCCACUGGGCACAAACUGGUUGAAUCUAUGUUGUUGUUUUUUUUCAACAUAAUUUGUCAACGUAUUGCGAUGUGGAAUCUACGUAUAAAAAAACAUUGAAUUUGCAAAAAGUCAUCAACUGUUGUUUUGAGGUGGAAUUUCAAUCACAUAAUUAUGUCAUCAUUGUAACACAUUUUCAACAUAGACAAACCUUGUAAAAUAUGUUACAUUUCUACCUUUGGAAAAAUGUCAGAUCUUUAACGUUAUAUUCA
ensembl:lncRNA